GCCAGGAUGGUCUCGACUCCUGACCUCGUGAUCUGCCCGCCUCAGCCUCCCAAAGGGCUGGGAUUACAGGCGUGAGCCACCGCGCCCGGCCGCAAGCAUAAAACUUUAACAUUCAGGUGAUGGCCUACUUCAAGUAAUAUUACAGAUAAAAUUAGUGCCUGGGAAUUUCUUUUUAAUGGGCUUUGAUCUGUUACACAGUUUUUAGUCAUUUCAGGCUCAUCUUCAGGCGUAUGUGAGAAGCAACUGACAUCUGCUAGAAAAUGAGUAUUUUCCUUUUCUUGCUGGUUUCUAGAUGUGAAAUCUAAUAAACAGCAAAGGGAGUACCAAGAAGGGUUUCUGCACUAUUGUGGAUUUUUCUGUGUUGAAAUGUCGUAUGACUUUAGAUUUGGAGGCUGUGUUGACAGGCGGAAGUCAGCCAACUGGGGCCCUCCUACAUAAGAGCAGAAGACAUUCCUUAGGCAGCAUAUAAGGCCACUAGGAAAUGAGGGUGUACAACACCCUUCCAGAGCCAACUUCAACAAACUGAAAUUUAUGUACAUUCUAAUCUAAAAUUUGUUUUUUCUCCCUACAUAUAAAGGAAAUUAAAUAAAAAAU